GGACGUGAGUGCCGUAAGCAAACCAAAAAAACCCGACCAGUACAGAGUAUUCCCAGCUCUCUUCUCCUCGCUCUCUCACCCUCGCAUACACAGUACCGUUGUAUCCAACUUCUCUCCGAUGGCUCUAUCCGUCCGUUGCCCCAAUUACCCGCCACCGUUAGCUGCUGCUUCUUCUUCUUCAGUUGUUGGGUUUUUGCCCCCCAACUCGCUCCAAUUUACGCCUCCCAGUCUCGGCAACCCAUGUUGCCGUUCAAGCCACCGGCGGCCUCUCACUGCCGUGAACGCCUCCCUCUCCGCCGUUGUAUCUCCCAAAAAUUCCUCUAUCCAAGACGAGAAGAAGCUCCUACUCGAAGUCAAGGACCUGAAGGCUGUGAUAGCAGAAUCCAAGCAACAAAUUCUCAAGGGCGUUAACCUCGCCAUCUAUGAAGGAGAGGUUCACGCAAUUAUGGGGAAGAAUGGUUCUGGGAAGAGCACAUUGGCAAAGGUUCUUGUUGGCCAUCCAGAUUAUGAAGUUACGGGGGGUAGUGUAGUGUUCAAAGGGGAGAAUUUGCUGGACAUGGAACCAGAGGAACGGUCACUUGCUGGGCUCUUUAUGAGCUUCCAGUCCCCUAUUGGGAUUCCUGGCGUGAACAAUAUUGACUUUCUGAAUAUGGCUUAUAAUGCUCGGAGAAGAAAACUUAGUCAGCCAGAGCUCGGACCGAUUGAGUUCUAUGCUUUUAUUUUUCCCAAGCUUGAACUCAUAAAGAUGAAGGCAGACUUUCUCAAUAGAAAUGUUAAUGAAGGAUUCAGUGGCGGUGAAAGGAAGCGAAAUGAAAUUUUACAGCUUGCAGUUCUGGGUGCGGAUUUGGCCAUCUUGGAUGAAAUUGAUUCUGGACUGGAUGUUGAUGCACUUCGAGAUGUAGCAGAAGCAGUAAAUGGGCUUUUGACUCAAAAGAAUUCUCUAUUGAUGAUUACCCAUUAUGAACGUCUUUUGAAUUCUGUGAGGCCAACAUUUAUCCACAUCAUGGAGAAUGGGAAAAUUGUGAAGACGGGGGACAUUUCAAUAGCAAAACUUCUGGAGGACGAAGGUUACCAAGCAAUUUCUGCAUCAUGAGUGCAUGCAAUUAGAUGUUGGCAUACUCUCGUGCGGUAUUAGAAGUAAAUCAACCAUACUCUUGUCAGCUAUAUUUCUUUCAAAUUUUCUAAUACCAGUUCUUUUGGAAGUCACGCUUUAUUUAUCUUAAGGCUCCUAAAUAUUUUCUCAUGCUACAUGCAUCAGUGCAAUUGUUUUUAGAUGGGCCUUAACAAGAUCUGUGUUGAAUAUUGUCAGAUUAUGCUCAGAUUUUACAGCAUCGCUGAGGGUUAGGAAGGUGAAGAAUUUAUCACAGGCAAUUUCAUCCGGAAUCAUGGCAACAUAUUGUUUAUAGAAUUGCGAGAUGCAACAGCCUGACCUCAUGAUGCUUAUGUGUAGACUAUCAUCUGAGUUUUAGGCUCUUUUUUUUCCCCAAGUCCUUGCUGCAGGGUAAAGAAAUUUUGAUUGAGAAUCAUUUUAUUGGGGAUGGC